CAUUUCCAGUCUCCUGUCUGAAAGAAAUCACACACAGACCCUCCAACAGUAGCUCACACACUGACAUACACACACCUGGCCAGUCGGGCAUUGGGGAAAGGGAACGGAUGGAAACAGUCGGGUGUGGGCUGUGAGGACAACAGCCGAAUCCCAGACUUCCCUCUGUCUGCCCACCUCCACCAGCUCUUCUGGGAAUACCAGGGCGUUCCCAAGCCAACAAAAAUAUAUAAUCUCUUCGGCAUGCCCCCAGCCUUCACCCUGGACUUCCACCUGAAUUCAACCCUCAAGAGAAGUGGUUCAUGUGUCGACACCGGACGAAGAUCAUCAAUGUGCAAGGUUAGGAUACAUACAGUCUUUUGCAAAGUUUAUAACCUACUACGAUACAAAAAAAGUUUAAAAAAAAAGGAAGCUUAUUUGCAUUUUCUGUGGCAGAAAGUCAAUCGAAUUUUCACUUUAUUUUAAGAUAAAUGCAAGACCUUUCCUUCAUACCUACCACACUUGUUAACAUACUAAAAGCAUAACAAGACCUCUGUUUAAUAUAAUUGGAAACAAUUGUAUUUUCAAUUUUGAUGGUUGGUCAAGAUAAGACUGUUAAAUAUGUUAAACAUUUUAAUGAUUUUUGACACGUUCUUGUAGGGAGACAUAGGGAGCAGUCUAAUCACUGGGAAAUAAUUAAUUAGCAAUGAAACAGUUCGGUUGAACCCUUUUGAUUUAACCAAAUAAGGAAUUUACUCAACAUCUGAGCGCCACAUUUUGUUUCCCUUGUAUUAUUCUCAGUGAAGCCACAGAUAGAGGAGGAGAGUAACAUUUUACACGCUCUAGUAUGAAAGCCAUUUUCUUGUCCUUCAUGGUGGCAAACUGUUCAAUUACCAUGUCAUAUAAUUUCCCAAUAGACCCCAGGUUUUUCACAAUAAAGGACUCAAGUCGCUCCAGUCCAGAUGUGUAGUGAUCAGUUCUGAUGUGGCCGUUAGAUUUUAUCUUAACUUAGUGGUAAUUAACGCAGCUGGGGGUUAUUGUUGUUUUUCACAAAAAUAUCUCAGAUACAUGAAACUGUCGAAGCAUCUGUACUUCAUUGUUUUGAAUCCUUUUAAGAUCACCGUGUGUGAGUUUAUAGUUGUUUAUGUACUGUUUAUGUAACACGAGCAAAGCAUUUUAAUGUAUAUUUAGCCCCUAGACGAAGUUUAGGGAAAUUAUAGGUCAUGACUUGUGUUUUAAACAAUUAAGUUCACUUAGUUAAAAUGAUUAUGUCCAUGUGUGAAUUUAACAUAGGGUCAUCUCACAAAACUUAACGGUGGAAACCUGAAACUUAAAGAAUGAAUAGCACAAUGAAAACAGAGAUUCUCUGUUGGUGUUUUUAUUUAUAUGAUGACUCGCAGCUGUGUUUAUAUGGUGUAUGAUUUUAAACCCUGCUGAGAUUGAAGCGCAACGGUUUUAUCCUAUGAAAUUUUUGCUCAUGUCUUUUCCUUGCUAUCAAUAAUUAAGACUAGAUCUUGGAAUGAAAAAGUAAUUUCCCUUGAAAGAACCGGAUAGAAUUGACAUAAACCCUAGCCCCCAAAACACAGCCCAAGAGGUAUCGAAAAGCUCAGUAGGUGCCAAUAAAAGUGGAAAAACAGAAAUCUUUCUAGCAAAACACAACAACAAGAACAAGUACAAGCCAUUGAAGUGGAGAAGUGAAAAACAAGAGCGACUUAAGGUGAUUCUCAUCUUCAACUCCAAAGCCUUGGUACUCCCCAAAAAAAGUGGGAAUGUAAUUUCCCAGACUAGGAACAUAAGCCAGGAGUAAUCUGGCCUGUAAUACCUCCUAGUCCUUAAAUAAAAGCCCUCCAUUUUAAGUCUUCAACCUCGUUUUCCCCCUCCCUCCCUUCCCCACCUUUAAUAGGAUUUGGUAGAAAAUGGCUUUGUGAAUCGCUCCUCUCCGUCUUGCUCAAGGAAGAGCGGGCUAUUCUCAUUGAGAAGUGCUUAAUUGCUUCAAAUGACUGAUGAUAUAUCGAGGGAGAAGGGCCUUGAGCCAGGGGCCACAUCCAAACACAUAACAGAUAGUGCUGCUGGACGAUGGAAGGAUAUGGACUGCAGUGUAUAUCUGUACAUUUUUGUGCGUGCGGUUAUUGCAACAAAGAUGAAAUGCUGGGGGUAGACGCUUCUCCGUAAGUGUCAUAAGUGUGCGUGCUGUGGAUGGAACAUGCGUAAACAUGCAGUUCCCUGCAUGCGUGUGUGCUUGGACUUGCAUGUGUGUGUGAAAGAGGGUCGCCAGGCAGUGUGCGUCCUAUCGACACCCCAGUAACAGACUAAAUUAAAGCUGUGAUGAAUUGUGGCUGUCAUGGCAGGAGAGAGGGGAGACUCUGCACUGUAUUCUGCCUCUGAUUAGGUAGGAAUAGAAAGAUACAGUAUAUCAUUAUCAAUAUGUAGCACUAUAUUUUCAUUAGAUUUUUCUCUCCACAGUGGACAGCUUGAUAGGAUGAUUUUUCAUUUCAAAAAAAAGAUUAAACAUCUUC